GACGAACGCUGGCGGCGUGCUUAACACAUGCAAGUCGAACGGAAAGGCCCUGCUUUUGUGGGGUGCUCGAGUGGCGAACGGGUGAGUAACACGUGAGUAACCUGCCCUUGACUUUGGGAUAACUUCAGGAAACUGGGGCUAAUACCGGAUAGGAGCUCCUGCUGCAUGGUGGGGGUUGGAAAGUUUCGGCGGUUGGGGAUGGACUCGCGGCUUAUCAGCUUGUUGGUGGGGUAGUGGCUUACCAAGGCUUUGACGGGUAGCCGGCCUGAGGGGGUGACCGGCCACAUUGGGACUGAGAUACGGCCCAGACUCCUACGGGAGGCAGCAGUGGGGAAUAUUGCACAAUGGGCGGAAGCCUGAUGCAGCAACGCCGCGUGCGGGAUGACGGCCCUCGGGUUGUAAACCGCUUUCGCCUGUGACGAAGCGUGAGUGACGGUAAUGGGUAAAGAAGCACCGGCUAACUACGUG
rnacentral:rRNA from 1 species